rnacentral:rRNA from 1 species
UUUGCAUAUUCUACCAUCUCACAAAACAUGGCCCAUUGAUGUUUUGCUCUUGUCUGAUCUCCAAAGCUGAGCAGGGCUGUGCCCGGUCAGGACUUGGAUGGGAGACCACUGGGAAUACCAGGACCAUAGGCAAGA